rnacentral:rRNA from 1 species
GAUGAACGCUAGCUACAGGCUUAACACAUGCAAGUCGAGGGGUAACGAGAGGGAAGCUUGCUUUCCUUGUCGACGACCGGCGCACGGGUGAGUAACGCGUAUCCAACCUGCCCCCAACUAAGGAAUAACCUUGCGAAAGUAAGACUAAUACCCUAUAAUUUCCUCAGAUGACAUCUGACGAGGAAUAAAGAUUUAUCGGUUGUGGAUGGGGAUGCGUCUGAUUAGCUUGUUGGCGGGGUAACGGCACACCAAGGCAACGAUCAGUAGGGGUUCUGAGAGGAAGGUCCCCCACAUUGGAACUGAGACACGGUCCAAACUCCGACGGGAGGCAGCAGUGAGGAGUAUUGGUCAAUGGGCGGAAGCCUGAACCAGCCAAGUAGCGUGCAGGAUGACGGCCCUAUGGGUUGUAAACUGCUUUUAUACAGGAAUAAAGUUAGCCACGUGUGGUUAUUUGUAGGUACUGUAUGAAUAAGGACCGGCUAAUUCCGUGCCAGCCGCCGCCGUAA